GUAACAUAAAGAAGCUUGCUUCUUUGAUGACGAGUGGCGGACGGGUGAGUAAUGCUUGGGAAUCUAGCUUAUGGAGGGGGAUAACUACGGGAAACUGUAGCUAAUACCGCGUAGAAUCGGGAGAUGAAAGUGUGGGACCUUCGGGCCACAUGCCAUAGGAUGAGCCCAAGUGGGAUUAGGUAGUUGGUGAGGUAAAGGCUCACCAAGCCGACGAUCUCUAGCUGGUCUGAGAGGAUGACCAGCCACACUGGGACUGAGACACGGCCCAGACUCCUACGGGAGGCAGCAGUGGGGAAUAUUGCGCAAUGGGGGCAACCCUGACGCAGCCAUGCCGCGUGAAUGAAGAAGGCCUUCGGGUUGUAAAGUUCUUUCGGUAGCGAGGAAGGCAUUUAGUUUAAUAGACUAGGUGAUUGACGUUAACUACAGAAGAAGCACCGGCUAACUCCGUGCCAGCAGCCGCGGUAAUACGGAGGGUGCGAGCGUUAAUCGGAAUAACUGGGCGUAAAGGGCACGCAGGCGGUGACUUAAGUGAGGUGUGAAAGCCCCGGGCUUAACCUGGGAAUUGCAUUUCAUACUGGGUCGCUAGAGUACUUUAGGGAGGGGUAGAAUUCCACGUGUAGCGGUGAAUGCGUAGAGAUGUGGAGAAAUACCGAGGCGAGGCA
rnacentral:rRNA from 1 species